GAUGAACGCUGGCGGCGUGCCUAAUACAUGCAAGUCGAGCGAAUGGAUUAAGAGCUUGCUCUUAUGGAGUUAGCGGCGGACGGGUGAGUAACACGUGGGUAACCUGCCCAUAAGACUGGGAUAACUCCGGGAAACCGGGGCUAAUACCGGAUAACAUUAUGAACCGCAUGGUUCGAAAUUGAAAGGCGGCUUCGGCUGUCACUUAUGGAUGGACCCGCGUCGCAUUAGCUAGUUGGUGAGGUAACGGCUCACCAAGGCAACGAUGCGUAGCCGACCUGAGAGGGGGAUCGGCCACACUGGGACUGCGACACGGCCCAGACUCCUACGGGAGGCAGCAGUAGGUAAUCUUCCGCAAUGGGCGAAAGUCUGACGGAGCAACGCCGCGUGAGUGAUGAAGGCUUUCGGGUCGUAAAACUCUGUUGUUAGGGAAGAACAAGUGCUAGUUGAAUAAGCUGGCACCUUGACGGUACCUAACCAGAAAGCCACAGCUAACUACGUGCCAGCCGCCGCAGUAA
rnacentral:rRNA from 1 species